rnacentral:rRNA from 1 species
UGCUUUGCGGCACGAGUUGUAGAUUGCAGGUUGGAGUCUGUGUGGAAGGCGGUGUCCAAGUCCCUUGGAACAGGGCGCCCAGGAGGGUGAGAGCCCCGUGGGAUGCCGGCGGAAGCAGUGAGGCCCUUCUGACGAGUCGAGUUGUUUGGGAAUGCAGCUCCAAGCGGGUGGUAAAUUCCAUCUAAGGCUAAAUACUGGCGAGAGACCGAUAGCGAACAAGUACUGUGAAGGAAAGAUGAAAAGCACUUUGAAAAGAGAGUGAAACAGCACGUGAAAUUGUUGAAAGGGAAGGGUAUUGCGCCCGACAUGGGGAUUGCGCACCGCUGCCUCUCGUGGGCGGCGCUCUGGGCUUUCCCUGGGCCAGCAUCGGUUCUUGCUGCAGGAGAAGGGGUUCUGGAACGUGGCUCUUCGGAGUGUUAUAGCCAGGGCCAGAUGCUGCGUGCGGGGACCGAGGACUGCG